CUCGCCUGCACGAAGUUGGAAUUGCUAGUAAUCGCGGAUCAGCAUGCCGCGGUGAAUACGUUCCCGGGUCUUGUACACACCGCCCGUCACACCAUGGGAGCUGGUAACACCCGAAGUCAGUAGUCUAACCGCAAGGAGGACGCUGCCGAAGGUGGGAUUAGCGACUGGGGUGAAGUCGUAACAAGGUAAC
rnacentral:rRNA from 1 species